GUGUUUGCUUCAGCAGCCUGUAUACUAAAAUUGAAACAAUACAGAGGAGACCAGCAUGCCCCCUGCUCAAGUAUGACAUGCAAAUUCAUGAAGUUUUCCAUAUUUUU
rnacentral:snRNA from 1 species